rnacentral:rRNA from 1 species
GGCAGGCUUAACACAUGCAAGUCGAGGGGUAAGUCCGCUUCGGUGGAAACACGACCGGCGCACGGGUGAGUAUCGCGUUUGCAAUCUACCUCUAACUGGGGGAUAGCCCGGAGAAAUUCGGAUUAAUACCCCAUAUUGUUAAAAUUUCGCAUGAAAUUUUGACGAAAGCUCCGGCGGUUAGAGAUGAGCAUGCGUGCCAUUAGUUUGUUGGUGAGGUAACGGCUCACCAAGGCAGCGAUGGCUAGGGGGUCUGAGAGGAUGAUCCCCCACACUGGUACUGAGACACGGACCAGACUCCUACGGGAGGCAGCAGUGAGGAAUAUUGGUCAAUGGGCGAAAGCCUGAACCAGCCAUGCCGCGUGCAGGAUGACGGCCCUAUGGGUUGUAAACUGCUUUUCUGCUCCAAGAACCCCACUUACGUGUAAGUGGUUGACGGUAGAGCAGGAAUAAGCAUCGGCUAACUCCGUGCCAGCAGCCGCGGUAAUACGGAGGAUGCAAGCGUUAUCCGGAUUUAUUGGGUUUAAAGGGUGCGCAGGCGGAUUAAUAAGUCAGUAGUGAAAUCCUGCAGCUUAACUGUAGAAUUGCCUAUUGAUACUGUUAAUCUUGAGUACAGUUGAGGUAGGCGGAAUGUAUGAUGUAGCGGUGAAACUGCUUAGAUAUCAUACAGAACACCA